rnacentral:rRNA from 1 species
UCUUGGUCAUUUAGAGGAAGUAAAAGUCGUAACAAGGUUUCCGUAGGUGAACCUGCGGAAGGAUCAUUAAAGAAAUUUAAUAAUUUUGAAAAUGGAUUUUUUUGUUUUGGCAAGAGCAUGAGAGCUUUUACUGGGCAAGAAGACAAGAGAUGGAGAGUCCAGCCGGGCCUGCGCUUAAGUGCGCGGUCUUGCUAGGCUUGUAAGUUUCUUUCUUGCUAUUCCAAACGGUGAGAGAUUUCUGUGCUUUUGUUAUAGGACAAUUAAAACCGUUUCAAUACAACACACUGUGGAGUUUUCAUAUCUUUGCAACUUUUUCUUUGGGCAUUCGAGCAAUCGGGGCCCAGAGGUAACAAACACAAACAAUUUUAUCUAUUCAUUAAAUUUUUGUCAAAAACAAGAAUUUUCGUAACUGGAAAUUUUAAAAUAUUAAAAACUUUCAACAACGGAUCUCUUGGUUCUCGCAUCGAUGAAGAACGCAGCGAAAUGCGAUACGUAAUGUGAAUUGCAGAAUUCCGUGAAUCAUCGAAUCUUUGAACGCACAUUGCGCCCCUUGGUAUUCCAGGGGGCAUGCCUGUUUGAGCGUCAUUUCCUUCUCAAACAUUCUGUUUGGUAGUGAGUGAUACCCUUUGGAGUUAACUUGAAAUUGCUGGCCUUUUCAUUGGAUGUUUUUUUUCCAAAGAGAGGUUUCUCUGCGUGCUUGAGGUGUAAUGCAAGUACGGUCGUUUUAGGUUUUACCAACUGCGGCUAAUCUUUUUUUAUACUGAGCGUAUUGGAACGUUAUCGAUAAGAAGAGAGCGUCUAGGCGAACAAUGUUCUUAAAGUUUGACCUCAAAUCAGGUAGGAGUACCCGCUGAGCUUAAGCAUAUCAAUAAGCGGAG